GCAGUAGUGACUCGGUGGUGGAAUUCUUGCCUUCCAUGCAGGAGACUCAGGUUCAAGCCCUGGCCAGUGCA
rnacentral:tRNA from 1 species